rnacentral:rRNA from 1 species
AGCGAACGCUGGCGGCAGGCCUAACACAUGCAAGUCGAACGGACCCUUCGGGGUUAGUGGCGGACGGGUGAGUAACACGUGGGAACGUGCCUUUAGGUUCGGAAUAGCUCCUGGAAACGGGUGGUAAUGCCGUAUGUGCCCUUCGGGGGAAAGAUUUAUCGCCUUUAGAGCGGCCCGCGUCUGAUUAGCUAGUUGGUGAGGUAAAGGCUCACCAAGGCGACGAUCAGUAGCUGGUCCGAGAGGAUGACCAGCCACAUUGGGACUGAGACACGGCCCAAACUCCUACGGGAGGCAGCAGUGGGGAAUCUUGCGCAAUGGGCGAAAGCCUGACGCAGCCAUGCCGCGUGAAUGAUGAAGGUCUUAGGAUUGUAAAAUUCUUUCACCGGGGACGAUAAUGACGGUACCCGGAGAAGAAGCCCCGGCUAACUUCGUGCCAGCCGCCGCAGUAACAC